AAUUACACUCUUGGCCGUUUUCUCCUUGCAAGUCUGAAAACUGAACUACCUCUGUGUCUGUCUUGAUUUUUUACAAGUGUUUUAGGUGUCUUGAACCUGACAUUUACUUGGUCCUUCGAGGCGGAUACCAACAUACCCGACGAAUCCAGCGGGUGGCUGGAUUGCAGUAUAAAGACCAUGGCCAUGACAGACUCCAUUAAAAGUGAGUCCAAAAAACCCUUUCCGUGACUGAAAUCGGCCCGCCAGCUGGAAUCCAAAGGUUGACGGUCCUCUGAAAAGACAGACAGGGUUUCAGAAGUGACCACCUGGUCCAGGAGCCCACCUGAGAGCGGCCCAAUAGACGGGACACCAUCCACACUGAGGGACCCAGGGCGGUCCACAGGGCCCACCGAGGCACCUCAAAACCUGUCGCAGGGGCCCAGAGCCAGCCCAGCCAACCACCCCUCCACCCGCCACCCCUGGCCUGUGAGAUUGGGGGGGAGGGGAGGGCUGCUGGCCAUUGCUGCCCCGGAGCCAACCACCCUCUCCACCCAAAUCCCACUGCCUGCAAGAGACCAGUGUCCUGUAUAUAGGGCUUUUUAAAAAAAAAAAAAAAAAAAAGGGGAUGGGUGUGUGUAAUGCAUUAAAAGACCUAGGGGGCAGGCCGGGCGGAGGAGGAAAGCCUCUAGACCAGGUACCAGCACUGACAUAUUGAAUCCCAGUCCAACGCUGGCAUCCCCCCAACCCCGCACCAGCCCCCCAAGUAACCCUGAGUAUGUGUGUGUGCCCGGAUGUGAUUAGUAAAAACAAUAUUUACAGUGGGUGGUGUGAGUGUGUGCAAGUGAGUGAUUAAGACGCAUGGCUCCUGUAGGCCGGGUCCACCCGGCGGGAAAACCACACGGAGAGAGGACUGUCACACGCGGCCCUGCAGUAAUGUCCCCCGGAAGCCCCAUACCCCACCUCAUCCCAUCACCCACCAGCAGCUGAAAUGGGGAACCAAAACACACGGCAGUUGGCAUCACCCCCAGCAUCCAUGGAACAAGAGCGAAUCCAUCACCAGCAUACGCCGGGAGGCCCGUCCAGUUAUUAGUUAAGUGUGUUCUAUGGAGCACUUCAUAUUGUAUAAACUGUAAAUUUGCAUUUUUUUAUUGUCAUCCUAAAGGUAUUGUUACAUAUCUGCAGCCAGUAAUUACAGUCAGCAGACAUAGAAAGGUCUUUUUCCCAUUUAGUUAUUGGUAACUGCGUUGAUUUUUACAUGAGAUUAAUUUAUAAACUUUUGUGAUUUAUAUAUUUGUUUUCCUUUGUGGGAGAAGCUUCAGUAUUUGCUUAACAAACUCGAGCGGUUGAAGCGUGCUGUGAAGUGUUGGAAUUCUUUUUGUUAUUGCUCUUUUUAAUUUAUUGUAUGGAUGGAAGUUUCCGCUUCUUAUUGGAAAUUCUUGGCACAAUUCAUCACGUGUCAUAAAUAUAUUAUUGUUACGUAGUUGUUGUAGGUGGUCAAUUCCACAUAGUUCCCAUGUGUUAAAAUAAAAUAAUGUUGUUAAUUUCACAUUCUGCAUUGUGCCAGAUUGGGAAGAGCAUACUGGAAGCUAAUUAAGAUUGCGUAGCUUCUAAACCUUUCCACCAAACCGUUAAGGUGGAUGCGAUUAUUGGGUUCUUGAAACAGUUAUGGCAUUUGAGACUUGUAGAAAUAAAUGGGACUUUUGAGA